AAGACCUUGCGCUUUUGGAGCGGCCGAUGCCUGAUUAGCUUGUUGGUAAGGUAAAAGCUUACCAAGGCUUCGAUCAGUAGCUGGUCUGAGAGGACGACCAGCCACACUGGGACUGAGACACGGCCCAGACUCCUACGGGAGGCAGCAGUGGGGAAUUUUGGACAAUGGGGGCAACCCUGAUCCAGCCAUGCCGCGUGAGUGUAGAAGGCCUUCGGGUUGUAAAGCUCUUUCAGCCGGAACGAAACGGUUACGGAUAACACCCGUGACUACUGACGGUACCGGAAGAAGAAGCACCGGCUAACUACGUGCCAGCAGCCGCGGUAAUACGUAGGGUGCGAGCGUUAAUCGGAAUUACUGGGCGUAAAGCGUGCGCAGGUGGUUUUGUAAGUCAGAUGUGAAAGCCCCGGGCUCAACCUGGGAACU
rnacentral:rRNA from 1 species